UCCCGUGUAUCAAUAUUUGAGCCGUUCUUUUUUCUCUUUCUCUUUUUCGUUUUUUCUUUUUCUCUUUUUUUUUCUUUUCUUUUCUUUUUUCCUUUUCUUUUCUUUUUUUUUCUUUUCAUUUCUUUUCUUUUCUUUUCUUUUCUUUUUUUCUUUUCUUUUCUUUUCUUUUCUUUUCUUUUCUUUUCUAUUUUCUUUUUUUUUCUUUUUCUCACCUUUUUUCUUUUUUCAGUUUUUUGAAAACAUUUUUAACCUUUUUUAAUUUUUUUUUCAUUUUAUACUAGUCUAGAAGUUUUCAAAUGAUAUAACUACGUUAAAAAAAGGUAAAAUCACAAAAAUACUGCUGAACUCCGAGGAAAAUUCAGAACGAAAAGUCCAUUAUCAAAUGGCAAAAUCAAAUGAUAAAACACAUCAAACGAAUGGACAACA
rnacentral:lncRNA from 1 species